GACAGAGGCCCCAAGCGUUAGGCGGAAUCACUGGGCUUAAAGCGUGUGUAGGCGGAUCGUUAAGUGUCUUGUGAAAUCCCACGGCUCACCCGUGGAACUGCUGGGCAUACUGGCGAUCUUGGGCCAACUAGGGGCAGCCGGAACAAGCGGUGGAGCGGUGAAAUGCGUAGAUAUCGCGUGGAACGCCAAAGGUGAAAACAGGCUGCUGGGGUUGUGCCGACGCUGAGACACGAAAGCCAGGGGAGCAAACGGG
rnacentral:rRNA from 1 species